UUUUUUUUACUGGUUCACUCAUAAAAACUACAUUUAUUUUAAAAAGGUAUUUACAAACUUUACAACAGUUAAUACAUUUUAAAAACCAUGAAAAUUUAUACACCUUGCUUUACAGACUUAGUGAAUCAGAUGUCAUUUACCCAGAGAGAUGCAGACUCCCUUUCCAAAGCUUAGCUCCUACUCUUUCUUCAGAGCCAGUUUAAAAGCUGUAUUUUUUGCUGAUUCAAUUGCAGAGAACUAAAAGAAAGAGGGAAAAGAAAACCAAGGUCUUUGCAGUCUGCAGAGGUGCGUUUUGUAACUAAACCAUCACAUCCAGGAUCUCAAACCACUCACAAAAUACUGUUACACAACAUCCGUAUUCUCCUGAAUUCAAGAUGAACAAGUCCCAAGGUUUAUCAUGUCAUUAAACCUUUGUAAUACCAACAAUGAAAAACUACAUCAAUUAAUACCAUGCAUGUUGGGGCUGAAUUUCAGAGCUGCUGAGGAUUUACACCUCUGCUUAAGAAAACAGACAACUGCAGACCAUGCAUGUGAAAACCAGGUUUGAAGUAUGCAGUCAGGCAUGUCCAGGGAUUCAGACAGCCUUAAAUCACGACAGUCAGACCAAUACAGCAUCAAAAGAUGCUUUUCACCUUUUAUUAAGCUCCUCUAUACCCCUUUGUGUACUCUCUGUAGUGCCACAAAGUCCUAAAGAUGCUUUAAUGUUAACAGGAGCAGAAUUAGGUGAACCUCAUGCACCUUUGAAAAGCACAAGCAGCAAUGAAAUCACAUUAUUCCUUUUCUUUUUCUUUCCCAUGUAGUCCUAGGAAAAGCUCACCCUGAUCCACUAGAUAAUUUGGUCUGCAACAGUAAAUAUCAAAUACUGAAGGUUUUUAAUUAAAAGAAUUAAAAGAAGGCAGCAGUAAUGGGUCAGGAACGCUUUCACCAUAAAAAAGCUUACAGUUAAAUUACAGACACCUUCAACUUAUUAUUUCCAUUUACACUUAUAAAAAUAAAUAAGGAGAGAAAAUCUGAGCCAUCAUCACUCCAAGUCUAACUCACUGUUCAUGUGUGGAGCACACACUGGGCUGCACAGUGUGAAGGUCGUUAGAUGCAGGUUCUCCAAACCCACUGCAUAGACAUGACAGUGUUUUCUGCCACUGCGGAUCACAGAUCUGUUCUCACUGGAAUCGGUGUCCUUUCCUAAUCCAAUAAUCCACUGAAAUGGAAAGCUGUCUGUUUCCCUCCUCCCUGAUGUGGAUUAGAGCCUGUAACAUUUUUAAAGGAAUUUAUCACAGCAUGACAAAUUUUAAUUAAAAGCUCCAGAAAACAAGUGUUGAGCAUAUUUCUCCAAAGCAAAACAAAAUCCUCUAAGAUUUGAAAUGUAACACCAGCUUUGAAGAGCACAGCUACGAAAUGGGAUUAGAGUUUGUCUUCUCUGCAGACUCGAUAUUUAACUUGGGAGGUUUGUUUUAUUCAAGACCCAUGAACUGGGUAGAAAUGCUGCUGUUUGCGUUCACUUCUGGUGUGCAGAGAUGACAACAUUAAUGUUCUACUCCCAUUUCUAGCCCUCCAGUUUAAAAGACAGUGGAUGACAUUUCCAAGAGCAUCUAAUAAACAUGGAAAGGUGAUCCUGAUUCUGAAAGCGAAGUAGUGAGACCUUAAAUUGUCUCUGAAAGUUAAAUCUCAGCAUUUAAGUCAGGGAAGUACCACAGCAAAGAGCAGAACACUCAAAUCACCAGUGGUCUGGUGGGAUUUCUCCUAAGUGCAGGCACUUACUUUCACUUAAUUAAAAUGAGCCAGGCCCCAUCCUUAUUCACACACUUAAAUAUCCAACUGCCUUUAAAAAUCUGACACUUAGAAGACAAUGCUCUUUCCUAAAACUGGCACAAAGCCCCACAGAAUCACUACAGAGUCCAUAUAGUACCUCUAAGCAGACUGUGCUGACUUAUAUCAGCUGAGAACAGAACUCCUCACACACCACAGGCAAUAAUACAGUUAUCAAAAUGGAACACCUAUUUGUGAGUUAGUUUUCCAAAGGAAAGAAGGAGAAACAGGGAGAGUUUACACCACUUCAGACUCUAGAACAAAAUAAUGCUGAGGAAGGAAAAAUCCCCCAACCUUAAACCCCUUUCUGGCACAGCAGAUUUGCCAAUGAAAUGCCCAAAAUAUCCCAGGAAGGAAAAUCUUGCUCCAUGCUCUUUAGGCAUCAGCUGUUCCUUUCCUUCCAGUUAGGGUGAUGGCUCAGCUACAACAGUCUCCAACCGGCCAGACAACAAAGGCAGCAAGGAGAAAAGCCUGACCUGUGUGGACAGCAUGCCAAGACCAAGUUUAAGGAACCUGCCAGGUGAGACAGUGGAUUGCAAGGAGAGCAUACAGGAAGAUAACACCUUCACUGCUUUUUAAGGAGCUGGUUCUAUAGGAAAAGUCAAAGAUCAAAAUAGAAAUGAAAGGCCUGUUCGUAAACCUAGUCUAUAAAACUGCAAAAACCCACUCCAAACAGUGAGAACCAAGUCUCCCCAAGUUAAAGAGCAUUAUGGAAAGGGUCACUGAAGAUCAGCUGAACAAUUCUUCCCAAGGUCAGACUUCCUCCAGUGAGGUUUUUUUGCAUGGACUAGUUCCCUCCUCUAGGAAAAAACCCCAAUGUGUGAGUUCAAGUGAUUAAAGCAGAUCAAAAAAGUAGGGAAAUAAGACUCAAAAGUCACUUGGAACCAAAAUCCCCAAAGCUGAUAGCUAGUUUGUUUCCCCACAACAGACAAACCCUCAGCUGAGAUUCCCACACAGAGUCC
ensembl:lncRNA